UACGUAGGGUCCGAGCGUUGUCCGGAAUUACUGGGCGUAAAGAGCUCGUAGGUGGUUUGUCGCGUUGUUCGUGAAAACUCACAGCUCAACUGUGGGCGUGCGGGCGAUACGGGCAGACUGGAGUACUGCAGGGGAGACUGGAAUUCCUGGUGUAGCGGUGAAAUGCGCAGAUAUCAGGAAGAACACCCGUGGCGAAGGCGGCUCUCUGGAACGCAACUGACGCUGAGACGCGAAAGCGUGGGGAGCAAACAGG
rnacentral:rRNA from 1 species